UAAGGAAUAUUGGUCAAUGGACGCAAGUCUGAACCAGCCAUGCCGCGUGAAGGAUGAAGGUCCUCUGGAUUGUAAACUUCUUUUAUCUGGGACGAAAACGGGAUUUUUAUCUCAAUUGACGGUACCAGAGGAAUAAGCACCGGCUAACUCCGUGCCAGCAGCCGCGGUAAUACGGAGGGUGCGAGCGUUAUCCGGAUUUACUGGGUUUAAAGGGUGCGUAGGUGGGCUUAUAAGUCAGUGGUGAAAUCUCCGAGCCUAACUUGGAAACUGCCGUUGAUACUAUAGGUCUUGAAUUAUCUGGAGGUAAGCGGAAUAUGUCAUGUAGCGGUGAAAUGCUUAGAUAUGACAUAGAACACCAAUUGCGAAGGCAGCUUACUACAUAUAAAUUGACGCUGAGGCACGAAAGCGUGGGGAUCAAACA
rnacentral:rRNA from 1 species